GGAAAAGGAAAAGAACCAGGGGACGUUUCCUUCCUCGUGCAAUCCUACAACAUCCGGUGGGAACGGCCUCCAGUCGGAGAUGUUCCACGUUAUGGAAGGAAACAAGGGACGCGAGGCAGAGGAGGGGGCCCUGGUGACAGGCCCCGGCAGCAGGCCCCAGCAGGCCCUCCAGGUGCAGGUUAGGCAGGUGGUUUCUGCAGCUCAAACCCCGCCCCGGGGCCCUGGCCCACACUCCAGGACUCUGAGGCCCGGAGGGAACCCGCGGAGCCCAGCCCAGGAGGCCCUCCCCAAGGCCGGGGAGGAGAGAGGCCAUUUCCCCCACCAACGGAAGACGUUUUUCAGUCAAAUGAAUAAUUC
rnacentral:lncRNA from 1 species